UGACCAAUCCCGUUCGCGGGGUCUUGGGCACCGCCGCCUGGCGGGUCUCAAAAUCAGUGGCGGUACGGCCGGGCUCUGAGCGUAGUAAAUCUUCUCGCUACAGGGUCCCGGGCGGCACCGGCCAGCAACCCCAAUCUUUACA
rnacentral:misc_RNA from 1 species